UAGAGUCAGACACGACUGAAACGACUUAGCAGCUUAGCAGCAGCCAAUUAACAAUGUGAUAGCUUCAGGUGGACAGCAGAGGCCCUCAGCCAUAUAAAUAUAUGUAUCCAUUCUCCCCCACGCCCCUCUCCUGUCCAGGUUGCCACACAACGUUGAGCAGAGUUCCCUGUGCUGUACAGCAGGCCCUCAUUGGUUAUCCAAUUUAAUGUGUACAUGUGUACAUGUCCAUCCCAAACUCCUUACUUGUCCCUUUCCCCAUCCUUCCCCCUACCAGCAGCCAUAAGUUUGUUCCAAUACCUGACUCUUGAGAAUCUCAUGGGUGGUUUUGUGUGGAGGCAAUGAACCAAGCCAUCAGGAAGAAACCUCUUCAGUCCACACUGCACAGCUGUGAUACUUAAGUAGUUCAUUCUGAACAGUCUGUAUGUGUACAGUGAUCUAAAGUUUUAAAACAUCCACCUCUGACUCGGGGACAAAUAACAGGCACCUCAUCUCUGCCUAUCCCAUCUGCCCCCAGGGUAGACAGGCGGUGGGUGGGGGGUCAUGCAGAGAUGCCCUCGGUCACACAGCAGCUCAAAGCCCCACUAAAGGAGAAAAAAUGGUCUAGUGAAAACAUGACCUCAAAAUGCCAGCUAAGACUCAGAUCUCCAACUUCAAAAGUAAGAUGUCCUGACGUUCAGGCAUAGGCUGACUCUGUCUUCUCUUAAAUAUACCUCCUUUGUUUAAAAAAAAAAAAAUGAAAUGAAACUCCUCUGGGUUCUGGGGAAGGGCAUGGAACUUCAAAGGCCCUUCCCCCGCACCCGGUGGGGAAGGCCACAGAGCAAGGCCUUCAUCAGAACCUCAAAUUAGAGCAGCCGGGUGGAACCAUGUCACGUUGUCCCAUGUGGCAUGUUCUAUGGUUUAAUUCAUGGUCCCUCUAGACUGCACUUGUCUCUUCAUUAUAUGUGGCCACCCUGCAAUUCCCCACCACUGUUGUUUGUGACUUUUUUAAAACGAGACAUUUUUGUCCCAGUUACACCCUUUGAGAGCCGAGCCUAAAUUCUACACAUCAGAAGCUGUUCGUAAACAGCCACGGCGAUAGCCCAAACCUCAAAAUAUGUGGUCAUGUAGCUGAAAGAAGAACAUUUGGGUUGAACUUCCAUGAGAAAUUGUCCUUGGCCCAGACACAGCUAGUCUGAACCACAAGGGGGCACCAUGUCCCCGUGGGUGAACUCAAGUCUAGAGAUCUUGACAUCCCAAGAAUCUUCGCGUCUCCACGUAAACUCUUCCACAGGAGAUCCCAACGUGACUUUCCUGUGAAUCCAAUGGUUAAGAAUCCGCCUGCUAAAGCAGGGGACAUCUGUUCAAUCCCCCGUCUGGGAAAAUCCUACAUGCCGUGGGGCAACCAAGCCCGAGCUCUAGAGCCCAUGAGCCACACAACUACUGAGCCUGAGCACUCCAGAGCCUGUGCUCCGCACCAAGAGGAGCCACUGCGAUGAGAAGCCCUACACCACGGCUGGAGAGCGGCCCAGCUCCCUGCGGCUGGAGAGCGGCCAGCGCAGCAGAGAAGAAACAAAUAAAAAUGUAAAAAAUAAUAAUAAUAAAUAUAAUUAAUUCAAACA